AAGUCGUAACAAGGUCUCCGUUGGUGAACCAGCGGAGGGAUCAUUGCUGGAACGCGCCCCAGGCGCACCCAGAAACCCUUUGUGAACUUAUACCUUACUGUUGCCUCGGCGCAGGCCGGCCCCCUUGGGGGCCCCCCGGAGACGGGGAGCAGCCCGCCGGCGGCCAAGCUAACUCUUGUUUUUACACUGAAACUCUGAGAAAUAAACAUAAAUGAAUCAAAACUUUCAACAACGGAUCUCUUGGUUCUG
rnacentral:misc_RNA from 1 species